CGUAUUGCGGGUCCAGUAGAUCCGAGUAACCUUUAAUCGGGUCCGCAGUACCCGCCUGUAUAAGAGGGGAGGCUACUGUUGCAGAGAAAGAGAAGGAAAAAAUAGAAGAAGCGAUAUUCUCUCCGUUGCUGAAGCUCAUGGCCGAUCGGAAGUGGUCGAUACUGGCAUCUUCCCCAAAUCCAAAGGAGUGGGUUCAACAUUAUGUUCGAAUGGAUAAUACAUAUCUCCAGCUACAACAAUGGCUGCCGCGGCUGGGGGAUGUGGCUGCGAACGAUUAGUGAUGAAGAAGAUGGUUAUACUACGAGUUUAACGGCCAUGAAUCGAGGAUAUUCCCAACGCUGGUGGUGGAUAGAGUCAUCCAUGGCUAUCUCUACUAAAGACACAGGUGUUGAGUUAGAAUAUUACGAGCAAGCGAGCCUCUACUUCUAGUUCCAUUUUAGUUUCAUUAGGUUUAGUUUGAAUAUUCAAUUUCUGAUUAAUAGAGAAUUGUCAAAAGAGUAAGGACUUGAAUAAUGGACAUUAUCUCAAUGAGGUUUAUUUUAGUACUAUAUUCCAUUUAUUUUUAUACUAAAUGUUUUGUGAAUUCAAUUGAAUGUAUAUAUUGUAUUGAAAAUCAAAUAAUAUACUUAAUGGACUUGGAAUU